rnacentral:lncRNA from 1 species
GAAGACCCCUUUGAUAUCAGACAUGAGAUGCAGAGUUUGGGAGUUUGCCCAGUUGGUUUCCUGACUUGCUUUGGGGAUUACAGUUAAGUGAUUGGAUAAACCUCAGAAUAGACUUAGAACUUUGGACUUUUAACAUUGUGAGACUGCUAUAGAUUAUAGGGACUCUGGAAGUUGGACUAAAUAUACUUCUUUAUUAUGCUAUGGCUAGGUAUGGCUUCCAUAGAUUCAUGUGUUUGAACCAAGCCUAUGGGGGCCAGGAAGUGGAAUGUCAUGGUUUAGCUACGCGAGACCCAAGGAGUGGCACUAUUAGGAGGUGCAGGCUUGUUGGAGUAGGUAUGUCACUGUGAGCAUGGGUUUUAACACCCUUGUCCUAGUUGCCUGGAACCAGUCUUCUCCCAGCAGCCUUCAGAUGAAGAUGUAGAAAUCUCAGCUCCUCCUGCACCAUGCAUGCCUGGACAAUGCCAUGCUUGCCUUGAUGAUAAUAGACUAAACCUCUAAGCCAGUCCCAAUUAAAUGGUAUCCUUAAAAGAAUUGCCUUGGUCAUGGUAUCUGUUCGCGGCAAUAAAACCCAAACUAAGACAGUAUAUAAAAGGUAAUUGUGCAACUUUUCAAUAAUUCUUUUAGAGGCAUAAAAAUAUGCCUGCAAUUCAAGAUAGUGCCAUCAAAAUCAUAACAGUAUAGCUUAUUAUUAAAUGUUUAUGUAAUCUAUAAUACAUAAGACAUAACAUGAGAUGACAUGUGAGAAGAUGGUUGCAAGAAUUACUGAGAUCAAGGACACAUGCUUCAUUAUGUUCAUAACAGCUUUAUUCAGAAUAGCAAGAAACUGGAAACAACCCUGAUGUCCCUUUCCCAAAAAAUGGAUACAGAAAAUGUGGUUCAUUUACACAAUGGGAUACUAUUCAAUUAUUUAAAAACAAAGACAUCAUGAAUUUUUCAGGCAAAUGGAUGGAACUAGGAAAUAUCAUCCUGACCC